rnacentral:lncRNA from 1 species
UGUCAGGGGCACCGAUUAGCAUGACUCUUAUGUUAUUCAAUUCAAUUUGCCACUCGUGAGGAUUCAAGCAAAACAACAAAUUGAAAUUGGUACAAAAAUAAAACUUAUUAAGUUUAUUUAGUGUUGAAUCAUUUUUUUUUUUUGCUCUUUUAUUCAUUAAUUACAUAGAAAAUACAUUUUUUAUAAAGGAUAGAAAAUACAUAUUAAACUAAUAACUUUUAAUUGUGUUGAAAUUGUAGGCUACAUAAGAGUAUUCAACUACUUCAUAAAGAAAUUCACAAAAUCAAGUUAUGUAGAAGAAAUAAUAAUGUUAUUAGGUGGAGUCACGUUAUUACUUGUUUAUUAGAUAAACUUUUGGUACUUUUUGUUAGAAGAACAAUGGUCAUUUGAAGUUUGUAAUAUUUUUUAUUUUUAUUUUUGAAAGUUAGUUUGUAAUAUUUUAUUGUUAAACAUGAAUAAUUCAUGACAUUUUAAUUUUUGAAAGUUAGUUUGUAAUAUUUUAUUGUUAAACAUGGAUAAUUUAUGGCAUUAUAUCUUG